rnacentral:rRNA from 1 species
UACGACUACAUAUCAGGCAUAUCAAUAAGCGGAGGAAAAGAAACUAACUAGGAUUCCCUUAGUAACGGCGAGUGAAGCGGGAAGAGCUCAAAUUUGAAAUCUUCAAGGUUUUACCUUGACGAAUUGUAGUUUAAAGAAGUGUUUUCUGUUGGUGUUUUGGUAAAAGUUCUUUGGAAUAGGACAUCAUAGAGGGUGAGAAUCCCGUAUUUGACCAUUACUUCCAGCGUUGUGAUACACUUUCAAAGAGUCGGAUUGUUUGGGAAUGCAGUCCAAAAUGGGUGGUAAAUUUCAUCUAAAGCUAAAUAUUGGCGAGAGACCGAUAGCGAACAAGUACCGUGAGGGAAAGAUGAAAAGAACUUUGAAAAGAGAGUUAAACAGUACGUGAAAUUGUCAAAAGGGAAGCGUUGGACACCAGUGUUGUUUUCUCGAAAAUCAAUUAAAAAUAGUUGGAUUUUGUAUUGUGAUGACUUUAUCAGCUUCCUGUACUUUUUUCUUACUAUUUUUAAUGCACUUUUCGUUUAACAAGUCAACAUCAAUUUCUUUUGUUGUAAAAGAGUCAUUGGAAGGUGGCUUUUCACUUCGGUGAAAGUGUUUAUAGCCUUUGGCUUCUGCAAUCGGAGAGAUUGAGGUCUGCAGCGUAGAUCCUUCGGGGUUAGAUACAUUGGUGCUAAGCUAUAGCCUUGUAUAGACAACUUGUUGACUAUGAUUAAGUCAUGUAGCUUACUCGCUGAUGCUAUUUUACCUACGCUUAGGAUGUUGAUCUCUCACAGUCGAGC